UACGGGGGGGGCAAGCGUUGUUCGGAAUUACUGGGCGUAAAGGGCGCGUAGGCGGCCUGCUAAGUCGGACGUGAAAUCCCUCGGCUCAACCGAGGAACUGCGUCCGAUACUGGUGGGCUUGAAUCCGGGAGAGGGAUGUGGAAUUCCAGGUGUAGCGGUGAAAUGCGUAGAGAUCGUAAGGAAGACCAGUGGCGAAGGCGAGUUUCUGGACAGUUACUGACGCUGAGGCACGAAGGCCAGGGGAGCAAACGGG
rnacentral:rRNA from 1 species